rnacentral:rRNA from 1 species
GAUGAAUGCUGGCGGCGUGCCUAACACAUGCAAGUCGAGCGGUAACAGAUCUAGCUUGCUAGAUGCUGACGAGCGGCGGACGGCUGAGUAACGCGUGGGAACAUACCCCAAAGUGAGGGAUAACCGCCCGAAAGGGUGGCUAAUACCGCAUAUGGUCUUCGGAUUAAAGGAUUUAUCCGCUUUGGGAAUGGCCUGCGUACGAUUAGAUAGUUGGUGAGGUAAUGGCUUACCAAGUCUACGAUCGUUAACUGGUUUGAGAGGAUGAUCAGUCAGACUGGAACUGAGACACGGUCCAGACUCCUACGGGAGGCAGCAGUGAGGAAUCUUCCACAAUGGGCGAAAGCCUGAUGGAGCAACGCCGCGUGCAGGAUGAAGGCCUUCGGGUUGUAAACUGCUUUUAUAAGUGAAGAAUAUGACGGUAACUUAUGAAUAAGCACCGGCUAACUACGUGCCAGCAGCCGCAGUA